CCCCGCUCCUCCCGGUGGCGCCGCGGCGGUACGGGAGGCGCGAAGGGGAAUUCUGCCUGGCAACUAAGAACGUCAGCGAAGGCCGGCUUGUUAUUGGAUUGAUCAUCUUCUGACCACAUUGGUGGAAUAUGGAGGGGCCUUGACACUGCACAGAAGAUGGUCGUGUCUUACAGGAACUGGCUGCAAGUUUUCAGCUCUUUGCUUCAUCAGCCACAAGUUCAAACCGUGAUCAGACAAGAGGUUGCCUAAAAGAAAGAUUACAGGAAAGAAAUCUCUGUUCUUGCUACCUGUUCUAAACUUCUUAAGAGAAUGGACUGACAUUCAAGUGCUAGCUUGUCCAGCAGCAUUCACCUGGGAUCCCCUCAG